rnacentral:pre_miRNA from 1 species
AAUCUAAUGACAACGUGUGUACGCCCACCAGAGGAUAAAAGCCAGUGUGUAGAAAUGCAUGUGCUACAUA